AGUUGAUCCUGCUGGAGGCCGCUGCUAUUGGGAUCCGACUAAGCCAUGCAAGUCCAGGGGUCCUUCGGGACACCGGCAAACUGCUCAGUAACACGUCGAUAAUCUGCCCUCGGGUUCAGGAUAACCUUGGGAAACUGAGGCUAAACCUGUAUAUGGGAAUUCUACUGGAAUGUGUUUUCCUUUAAAGGUGACGCCCGAGGAUGAGUUGGCGGCGGAUUAGCUUGUUGGUGGGGUAAUGGCCCACCAAGGCGAUGAUCCGUAGGGGCCUUGAAAGAGGUAGCCCCGAGAAGGGCACUGAGAUACUGGCCCUAGCCCUACGGGGUGCAGCAGGCGCGAAACCUUUACACUACACGAAAGUGUGAUAAGGGGAUCCCAAGUGCCUAUACUCUGUAUAGGCUUUUUUUCAAGAGUAAAUAUCUUGGAGAAUAAGUGGUGGGAAAGACUGGUGCCAGCAGCCGCGGUAAUACCAGCGCCACAAGUAGGGGCCAUGGUUAUUGGGCCUAAAGCGUUCGUAGCAGGCUAUGUAAAUCUCUUGUGAAAUCGUUGGGCUUAACCUAACGGCGUGCAGGAGAGACUGCGUAGCUCGAGACCGGGAGGGGUAAGAGGUAUUUCUGGGGGAGCGGUAAAAUGCUAUAAUCCCAGGAGGACCACCUGUGGCGAAGGCGUCUUACCAGAACGGUUCUGACUGUGAGGGACGAAAGCCAGGGGAGCAAACCGGAUUAGAUACCCGAGUAGUCCUGGCCGUAAACGCUGCGAGCAAGGUGUUGCAUAUUCUAACAUGGAUAUGCAGUGUCGAAACGAAGGUGUUAAGCUCGCCGCCUGGGAAGUACGGUCGCAAGAUUGAAACUUAAAGGAAUUGGCGGGGGAGCACUACAAGGGGUGCGGCGUGCGGUUUAAUUGAACUCAACACCGGAAAUCUCACCAGGAGCGACGGCAGAAUGAAAGUCAGUCUAACGGGCUUACUUAACAAGCCGAGAGGUGGUGCAUGGCCGCCGUCAGCUCGUGCCGUAAGGUGUCCUGUUAAGUCAGGCAACGAGCGAGACCUGCAUCUACAAUUGCUACCAGCUCUAUCAGAGGACUGAGCACAUUGUAGAGACUGCCUGGGAAACCAGGAGGAAGGUGCAGGCCACGGUAGGUCUGUAUGCCCCGAAUCCCCUGUGCUACACGCGCGCAACAAUGGUAGGGACAAUGGGAUGCAACUCUGAAAAGAGAAGCUAAUCCUCGAAACCCUAUCCUAGUUCAGAUCGAGGGCUGCAACUCGCCCUCGUGACGUCGGAAUCCCUAGUAAUCGGAUGUCAUCAGCAUCCGGUGAAUACGUCCCUGCUCCUUGCACACACCGCCCGUCAAGCCACCCGAGCAGGGUUUGGGUGAGGCCUGGCCUAUUAGCUAGGUCGAACUUAGGCUCAGUGAGGAGGGCUAAGUCGUCACAAGGUA
rnacentral:rRNA from 1 species